AAUAGUUUUAUGCCACAUCAGUAUUCUUAUCCUGAAUUUCAGGAUUUUAUCCUGAAUUUCAGUAUUUUAAUUUGGAUUUAAUUUUUUUCAGGAUAAAAUCCUGAAAUUCAGGAUAAAAUCCUGAAAUUCAGGAUAAGAAUACUGAUGUGGCAUAAAACUAUU
rfam:Gossypium hirsutum cultivar TM-1 chromosome 5, whole genome shotgun sequence